rnacentral:rRNA from 1 species
GACAGAGGUGCCAAGCGUUAGGCGGAAUCACUGGGCUUAAAGCGUGUGUAGGCGGACUCGUAAGUACCUUGUGAAAUCCCACAGCUCAACUGUGGAACUGCUGGGUAUACUGCUUGUCUUGAGCCACUUAGGGGCUGUCGGAACAAACGGUGGAGCGGUGAAAUGCGUAGAUAUCGGGAGGAACACCGGUGGCGAAGGCGGCCUUCUGGACGGAUACUGACGCUGAGACGCGAAAGCGUGGGGAGCAAACAGG